GCUUUCUUUACUUGGUGGAAUGUGGUGACAUAUGGUGGCAUUUCUCCCAACCCUUUUUCCCAGGAGAGAGGG
rnacentral:miRNA from 1 species